rnacentral:tRNA from 1 species
UCCUCUUUAGUUCAGUCGGUAGAACGGCGGACUGUUAAUCCGUAUGUCACUGGUUCGAGUCUAGUCAGAGGAGCCA